rnacentral:rRNA from 1 species
CCUACGGGUGGCAGCAGUGGGGAAUAUUGGGCAAUGGAGGCAACUCUGACCCAGCAACGCCGCGUGAAUGAUGAAGGUCUUCGGAUUGUAAAGUUCUGUGAUGGGGGAGGAACACAAUGACGGUACCCCAAUAGCAAGCCACGGCUAACUACGUGCCAGCAGCCGCGGUAAUACGUAGGUGGCAAGCGUUAUCCGGAAUGACUGGGCGUAAAGGGGGCGUAGGUGGUUUAGUAAGUUGGCGGUGUAAUUCCGGGGCUCAACCUCGGCGCUACCGCCAAAACUAUUAGACUAGAGUGCAGGAGGGGUCAGUGGAAUUCCUAGUGUAGCGGUGAACUGCAUAGAUAUCGCGCAGAACUCCGAUUGCGAAGGCAGCGUACCGGCGCCGGACUGACGCUGAGGCACGAAAGCGUGGGUAUCGAACAGGAUUAGAUACCCUGGUAGUC